UACGUAGGUGGCAAGCGUUGUCCGGAGUUAUUGGGCGUAAAGAGCUCGUAGGCGGUUCGUCGCGUCGGCUGUGAAAACCUGAGGCUCAACCUCAGGCCUGCAGUCGAUACGGGCGGACUUGAGUACUGCAGGGGAGACUGGAAUUCCUGGUGUAGCGGUGAAAUGCGCAGAUAUCAGGAGGAACACCGGUGGCGAAGGCGGGUCUCUGGGCCGAUACUGACGCUGAGGAGCGAAAGGCGUGGGGAGCGAACAGG
rnacentral:rRNA from 1 species